rnacentral:rRNA from 1 species
CGAGUGACACUGCGCCGAAAAUGUACCGGGGCUAAACAUAUUACCGAAGCUGUGGAUUGUCCGUAGGACAAUGGUAGGAGAGCGUUCUAAGGGCGUUGAAGCAUGAUCGUAAGGACAUGUGGAGCGCUUAGAAGUGAGAAUGCCGGUGUGAGUAGCGAAAGACGGGUGAGAAUCCCGUCCACCGAUUGACUAAGGUUUCCAGAGGAAGGCUCGUCCGCUCUGGGUUAGUCGGGUCCUAAGCUGAGGCCGAUAGGCGUAGGCGAUGGAUAACAGGUUGAUAUUCCUGUACCACCAUGAAUCGUUUUAAGCGAUGGGGGGACGCAGUAGGAUAGGCGAAGCGUACGAUUGGAUUGUACGUCCAAGCAGUAAGACUGAGUGUUAGGCAAAUCCGGCACUCUUAAGGUCAAGCUGUGAUGGGGAGAGGAAAUUGUUUCCUCGAGUCGUUGAUUUCACACUGCCGAGAAAAGCCUCUAGCUAGAUUUAUGGUGCCCGUACCGCAAACCGACACAGGUAGUCAAGAUGAGAAUUCUAAGGUGAGCGAGCGAACUCUCGUUAAGGAACUCGGCAAAAUGACCCCGUAACUUCGGGAGAAGGGGUGCUCUUUAGGGUUCACGCCCAGGAGAGCCG